rnacentral:rRNA from 1 species
CGGAGGGUGCAAGCGUUAUCCGGAUUUACUGGGCUUAAAGGGUGUGUAGGCGGACUUUUAAGUCAGGGGUGAAAUCCCGAGGCUCAACCUCGGAACUGCCUUUGAUACUAUUGGUCUUGAAUCUUGUUGAGGUGGGCGGAACGGGUCAUGUAGCGGUGAAAUGCAUAGAUAUGACCCGGAACACCGAUUGCGAAGGCAGCCCGCUAAGCAAGCAUUGACGCUGAGGCACGAAAGCGUGGGGAUCAAACAGGAUUAGAUACCCUGGUAGUCCACGCCCUAAACGAUGAUUACUCGACGUUGGCGAUACACUGAUCAGCGUCCAAGCGAAAGCAUUAAGUAAUCCACCUGGGAAGUACGUUCGCAAGAAUG